AAACUGCCCUGAGACCCCGAAAUAUCCCCUGGGACCCAAAAAUAUCCCCUGGGACCCCAAAAACUGCCCUGGGACCCAAAAUAUCCCUUGGGACCCCAAAAUGUCAUCCUGGGACCCCAAAAUAUCCACCAGGGACCCCAAAAACUGACCUGGGACCCCAAAAACUGCCCUGGCAACUGAAAAUACCCACAGGGACCCCAAAAUAUCCCCAGCAUUUGGGACACCGGAGCUGGUGGCUGAGGCACAGGGGGGUGGCCCUGUCCCUGUCCCUGUCCCAUCCCUGUCCCCUCUCCCUGUCCCUGUCCCCUGCAGCACCCAGGGGUGCUGGGGAUCAGCGUCUCUGUGUCCCCAUGGUGUCCCCAAGGUGUCCCCACAGGUGAUGGGACACAAAGGGCGGGUGACAAAGGCUCAGGGGGUGACAGUGGCGUUGUCCCUGUGUCCCCAUGGUGACGCUGUCCCCAGUGUCCCCAAUGUCCCUGUGGUGACAGUGACGCUGUCCCCAGUGUCCCCACAGGUGAUGGGACACAAAGGGCGGGUGACAGAGGCUCAGGGUGUGACCAUGACCCUGUCCCCCUGUCCCCAGUGUCCCCGUGGUGGCACUGACCCUGUCCCCAGUGUCCUUGUGGUGGCACUGACCCUGUCCCCAAUGUCCCUGCAGUGACACUGACAUUGUCCCCAGUGUCCCCAUGGUGGCACUCCUGUCCCCAGUGUCUCCAUGGUGUCCCCACAGGUGAUGGGACACAAAGGGCGGGUGACAGAGCCUCAGGGGGUGACCAUGACCCUGUCCCCCUGUCCCCAGUGUCCCCGUGGUGACCCUGUGCCCCAUGUCCCCCGUGUCCCCGCAGGUGAUGGGCCGCAAGGGCCCGGUGGCCGAGGCGCAGGGCGUGGAGGUGGCGCUGGCCCCCGAGGAGCUGGAGCUGGACCCCACGGCCAUGACGCAGAAGUACGAGGAGCACGUGCGCGAGCAGCAGGCGCAGGUGGAGAAGGAGGAUUUCAGCGACAUGGUGGCCGAGCACGCCGCCAAGCAGAAGCAGAAGAAGCGGAAGGCGCAGCCCCAGGACGCUCGUGGGGGGGGCAAGAAGU
rnacentral:lncRNA from 12 species